UUUAUUUGAGAGUUUGAUCCUGGCUCAGGAUGAACGCUGGCGGCGUGCCUAACACAUGCAAGUUGAGCGAUUUACUUCGGUAAAGAGCGGCGGACGGGUGAGUAACGCGUGGGUAACCUACCCUGUACACACGGAUAACAUACCGAAAGGUAUGCUAAUACAGGAUAAUAUAUUUGAGAGGCAUCUCUUGAAUAUCAAAGGUGAGCCAGUACAGGAUGGACCCGCGUCUGAUUAGCUAGUUGGUAAGGUAACGGCUUACCAAGGCGACGAUCAGUAGCCGACCUGAGAGGGUGAUCGGCCACAUUGGAACUGAGACA
rnacentral:rRNA from 1 species